rnacentral:lncRNA from 1 species
AUGACUUUAUGUAUAUUGUGGUAUUGGACAGUCUUUUUUGCAGGCUCUGUGACUGAAACGAAUUUACAAUUAGACUUCUUUAAAAGAAAACCAGACAACCAGCGGACAGGCUGUGGAGACAUACCUGAAAAUGUGAACCAGCUAUGCUCUGAUGCUAGCAGGCAAAUGGAAAGAAUCAUCACUGUGAAGUGGGUGCAUGUGUGCCAUCCACAGCUUAGUGUUAAAUUAUUUUUUCACCCCUCAGUCCAGAAGAAAAUGGAUUCCAACAGUGCAAUGAAGAUGAAGGCAACCACAGAGGAAAAAGAAGUAAAGAAAUGCUUGAGUGUUGAUGUAUUUGUAAAUGACUCUCUGGGAGAAAAAAAAAUGCACUUUAAGAAAAUAAACUCAGUAUAAGGCCUAAUAAAAAUAAAAUUUUAUGAAAAAUAUAAAAAUCC